GACGAACGCUGGCGGCGUGCUUAACACAUGCAAGUCGAACGCUGAAGCUCAGCUUUUGUUGAGUGGAUGAGUGGCGAACGGGUGAGUAACACGUGAGUAACCUGCCUCCUUCUUUGGGAUAACGCCCGGAAACGGGUGCUAAUACUGGAUAUUCACUGGUCUUCGCAUGGGGGUUGGUGGAAAGGGUUUUUCUGGUGGGGGAUGGGCUCGCGGCCUAUCAGCUUGUUGGUGGGGUGAUGGCCUACCAAGGCUUUGACGGGUAGCCGGCCUGAGAGGGUGACCGGUCACAGUGGGACUGAGAUACGGCCCAGACUCCUACGGGAGGCAGCAGGGGGGAAUAUUGAACAAUGGGCGCAAGCCUGAUGCAGCGACGCCGCGUGAGGGAUGGAGGCCUUCGGGUUGUGAACCUCUUUCGCUCAUGGUCAAGCCGCAACAAUGGUUGUGGUGAGGGUAGUGGGUAAAGAAGCGCCGGCUAACUACGUG
rnacentral:rRNA from 1 species